rnacentral:ncRNA from 1 species
UUUCUCAUAAAGGGGUGGUUUUGUAAAGCAAGGUUUAUAUCCUGAAAUAUUGGAGUAUAAACAGAAAUGCGAGAUCUGAGAACAGACCCUUAUAACCUGAUCUGGAUAAUGCCAGCGAAGGGAGAGAAAUUAACAG